rnacentral:lncRNA from 1 species
CCAGGCUGGAGUGCAGUGGCACAAUCUUAGCUCACUGUAGCCUUAAAUUCCUGGGCUCAAGCAAUUUUCCCACCCCAGCCUCCCAAGAGCAGUGGACUACAGGCACAUACUACCACCCCCGGUUAAUUUUUAAAAUUUUUUUGUAGAGACAGGGUAUCACCCCUAUCUCUAUCUAUCUAUCCAUCCAUAGACCAAACACCACCAUCUAAGGCAGGGCAGUGUAGAGGCAGUGUAGAGGCAGUAUUCCUGCAGAGGAACACAUUCAUUUACUCUUCUUUAGUGAUGUCCUUGGCAGGAGACUCAGGGUUAUUUGAAAGAAUUCUAAUUAAUAAAUUUGGCUCC